CGUAGGUGGCAAGCGUUGUCCGGAGUUACUGGGUGUAAAGGGCGUGUAGGCGGGUUAAUAAGUCAGAUGUGAAAUUCCAUGGCUCAACUGUGGCGCUGCAUCUGAAACUAUUAAUCUUGAGUGAUGGAGAGGAAAGCGGAAUUCCUAGUGUAGCGGUGAAAUGCGUAGAUAUUAGGAGGAACACCAGUGGCGAAGGCGGCUUUCUGGACAUUAACUGACGCUGAGGCGCGAAAGCGUGGGGGAGCAAACAGGAUUAGAUACCCUGGUAGUCCACGCUGUAAACGAUGGAUACUAGGUGUAGGAGGUAUCGACCCCUUCUGUGCCGGAGUUAACACAAUAAGUAUCCCACCUGGGGAGUACGGCCGCAAGGUUG
rnacentral:rRNA from 1 species